rnacentral:rRNA from 1 species
AGUUCAUCAUACUGAUUGAACGCUGGCGGGAUGCUUUGCCACAUGCAAGCCGAACGGCAGCACGGACUUCGGUCUGGUGGCGAGUGGCGAACGGGUAUAAUGUAUCGGAACGUGCCUAGUAGCGGGGGAUAACUACGCGAAAGCGGUAGUCAAUACCGCAUACGCCCUUCGGGGGAAAGGGGACCUUCGGGCCUUCGCACUAUUAGAGCGGCCGAUACCGGAUUAGCUAGGCUGGUGGGGUAACGGCUCACCAAGGCGACGAUCCGUAGCUGGUUUGAGAGGACGACCAGCCACACUGGGACUGGAGACGGCCCAGACUCCUACGGAGUAGCAGGGGAAUUUUGACAAUGGGGGGAACUUAUCCAGCCAUCCCGCGUGUGCGAUGAAGGCCUCGGGUUGUAAAAAAACUUUGGUAGAAAGUAAAGAGUUGAAACGGCACGGGAUAAUACCCCGUGCAACUGACGGUACCUGCAGAAUAAGCACCGGCUAACUACGUGCCAGCAGCCGCGGUAAUGUUUUGUGGGUGCAAGCGUUAAUCGGAAUUACUGGGCGUAAAGCGUGCGCAGGCGGUUCGGAAAAGAAAGAUGUGAAAUCCCAGAGCUUAACUUUGGAACUGCAUUUUUAACUACCGAGCGAGUGUGUCAGGAGGAGGUGGAAUUCCGCGUGUAGCAGUGAAAUGCGUAGAUAUGCGGAGGAACACCGAUGGCGAAGGGCAGCCUCCUGGGAUAACACUGACGCUCAUGCACGAAAGCGUGGGGAGCAAACAGAUUAGAUACCCUGGUAGUCCACGCCCAAACGAUGUCAACUACGUUAGCCUGGACACCGGUAGCGCAGCUAAUGAAAGAAGUUUGACCGCCUGGGGAGUACGGUCGCAAGAUUAAAACUCAAAGGAAUUGACGGAAGACCUGCACAAGCGCGUGGAUGAUGUGGAUUAAUUCGAUGCAACGCGAAACCUUACCUACCCUUGACAUGUCUGGAAUCCCAAAGAGAUUUGGGAGUGCUCGCAAGAGAACCGGAACACAGGUGCUGCAUGGCUGGGUCAGCUCGUGUCGUGAGAUGCUGGCGUUGUCCCAAAUGAUGCAACCCUGUCAUUGGUUGCUACGAAAGGGUACUCUAUCGAGACUGCCGGUGACAAACCGAGGAAGGUGGGGAUGACGUCAAGUCCUCGCGGUCCUUAUGGGGUAGGCUUCAAGCACGUCAUACAAUGGUCGGGACAGAGGGUCGCUAACCCGCGAGGGGGAGCCAAUCCUGCAAACCGAUCGUAGUCCGGAUCGCAGUCUGCAACUCGACUGCGUGAAGUCGGAAUCGCUAGUAAUCGCGGAUCAGCAUGUCGCGGUGAAGGUUCCUCGGGUCUUGUACACACCGCCCGUCACACCAUGGGAGGGGUUUUGGCCAGGAAGUAGUUAGCUCUAACCGCAAGGAGGGCGAUUACCACGGCAGAUUCAUGAUCGGGGUGAAGUCGUAACAAGGUAA